rnacentral:rRNA from 1 species
GCCUGCAUGAAGUCGGAAUUGCUAGUAAUCGUAGGUCAGCAUACUACGGUGAAUACGUUCCCGGGCCUUGUACACACCGCCCGUCACACCAUGGGAGUCGGGAAUGCCCGAAGUCAGUGACCCAACCGAAAGGGGGGAGCUGCCGAAGGCAGGCCUGGUAACUGGGGUGAAGUCGUAACAAGGUACC